rnacentral:lncRNA from 1 species
CAGAACAAAGCAAAGUACUGUUUUUGCCUCUUCGAGCGUAAAUUACGGCGCAUUCUUCGUAAGGGGAACGAAAGAUAUCAAAUCUUCCAAAAUCUCUGAGGAACAUAAACGUAGCUUUGUUAUUAUAAUGCUAAAUUAAAGAAAAUUAAAACGAAGAAAAAAAAAAAGGAAAAAUAAUGAAAAAAAAUAUACAUAAUUUGUUACUAUCCGUAAUCGACAAACGACGAUCGUCUCGAAUGAAAAUUCGUCUAACGUGUACACUUAUCGACGCACACUGGCCGGAUUUCCGCAGUAGCGGAUUAAAUCUUACGGAAUAUAAUGUACACUUGGGUGCAACGCAAGCUUCCGUCGGACAAUAACCAGUGUACGAGAAGAAGACAUCCACCACUCGAUUUUCAAUUGUCGAAAAUCAAAUGUACAAACUUGAAAAUUUUGCUAAUGAAAAAUCAACAAGUGUCGGGGUCUUUUUCCCCUACAUCGCCAUUUUCUUCGCGGAAGGCUAUGCUGCUCAAUGUACGUUCGAGAACCGUUUCGUCGGAUUCCCCUCGUUCGGACACAGAUAAAGUGAUUCUCGUUCUUUUACAGCUAUAAACGAAUAAUCGAAUGUCUGCGAUCCGACUUUGGAAUAAUGUUAUUGCAGCCUUUUUUAUUCAAUACUGUGCGCUUCUCGAAGUUAAAUAAAAAUCGAUCCACCGUGCAGCAUACGACUGAAGUUGCAACGUUUUUUGAACAUUAACAAUGCCCUUGAAGUCCUCUGUAAACACGAAUGUAAGUAUCGAUACGGACAACGUUAUCGAAUUGUUCUUCGCGAUCGAUUUUUUACCGCCUCGAUAUAUAUUUCUGACUCCAUCUUGUAAAUCAGUUAAGAACUUAUUCUCUGUCUCGCGUGCGAUAAUAUCGAUAACGUUGAUCAAUCUUACACUGGCAUCUAUCGGAACCUCUUUAAAAUCGCAUUCAUUGACAGAGAAGCACAGAGACGCAUUCUUGUGGAUCGUUAUAAUGCAAGAUCGUGGAAGAUAUCGUCGCUUUUUUAUCUCGGAAGGAAUAACCGAUAAACUGAUCGUAAAUUGACAUCCCGGUGACGAGUACAGGUAUUACGUUACCGAUACUCGUGAAUCGAUGCGCUGACGUACAAUCUUACGCAAGAUCGAUCUAUCGGAGUGAAGUAAAGAAACUCGUAUUCAAGGUAUUUCAAAUUUAUAUUUUUUACAAUCUUUUUUUUCUUAUAUUGUUUCAGUUUACUAUAUUUUUUUAAGAUGAUUUGAAAAUUUUAUUACUAGAAUCACGAGUGUCUUUGAAUAUCGAUCUCGCGCCAUAUUUUAUCGAUCGACUUUGAAAAUCGUUCCACGAAAGGCGCAUGCGAAAAGUUUCGACAGUUUCGAAACAUCGAAGAUUCGACACGUAGAAUUUUCGGAACUGACUGGAAUUCAGAGCUACGCGUAAAAAACAAGUGGAAACGGCGUCCCUUCCGAGUGUACUUAAUUUACCAGGAUCAAAUUCGUUGACUUUAAAGGUACCACUCUAAUGAUAUCAAAAAGUAUAUUAUGCAAUUUUCAUUAUCUUUCGUGUUACGUUUAUCAUAUCACAGUCACGCGUUCUUCAUUUUUGGUUAACUUUGCUGAAACUAUUCGCCGUGCACCGACAAUCGAGGAAACCGAUGAAACGUCGCGAACAGUCGACUCCAUGAAAACGUCCGAAUCAACGAGUCGAAGAACAGGGGAAGGAAAGAAAGAGAAGGUAAGCUACUACUCUCGUAUAUAAAUCACGCAUACCGUAUAAUGUUCGUCGAACUGUACCAAAAAUAUAGAGUUUUCUUUCAACUUAGAGCCAAUAAGGAAGCACUUAUCUUUUUAUUAAAUUAAACCAAGAGAGUAGAAGACAAGGAUACAAGAAUAAGGAAAGUGACUUACAAGGGGAGUGCACCAGCUUCAAUUUGGUCUAAAAUUUAUCAUGGUGGGUCCCAAAAAUUUGCAAGAACCACUCGCUCAAGACUUUGACGGUAAAGUUAGGUUAAAUUAUAUCUGAAAAUUAAGAAUUAAUCUUGGAUUAUUGUAGGGUCUGAAAUCUGGAAGAAGUGCACUCUCCUUAUGGCAAAGAAACAAAAUAAAAGCGACGUCGAAACGGAUUCUCUGUGUCCUUUGCAAACAGUAACGGGUGUUCUGUGUUUAGUAAUAAUUUUCUGACGAAUUUGAACGUUACUCGAAACAAUUGAAAACAUGAAAACUGUAUCGUCUAGACGGAAAUAUACAACCAACAUGUAAUAAAUUCAUUCCAGUGUUUUCAUAUUUUCAACGUAUCGUAAUGCUUGUCGAGUAAUAUUCAAAGUCGCUGAAAACCGUCGUCAUUUGAAGGACGUCAUCGAUCGACGACGAUUCGAGAUGAUCGUAUGUACAGCCGUGUAUCUAAGAAUGUACGUCAACGCGAAAUACGAAAGAUGUGCUCUCGAAGAUUUUUUAACUCUUACUUUAAAUGGUAAGUCCUUUCCAUAUCUCCGAAGAGGACGAAAAAAUGAUGGACGAGGCCGCCUCACUUCGCUGAGGGAGAAAAAACAUUUCUUCGACCUUAUCUCGUGUGCACUUCUCUCACGGAGUUCAACUUUGUUCGUUCGUUUGUUUUUUUUUUGGUUAGUUUUAACUCUUUUUUGUUUCUUUUAGCGUCUCGAUUCGAAGAUGGAUAAGGGGGAGAUGAAGGAGAUUAUCAUGUAAUACAAGUGCAGCGAGUUCUGGAUAAAGGAAGAAGAGAGGAUUGAUUUGUGACUUGAUUUAAAAGAUAUUAAUGUCGAUAAUAUGGAUAAAGUACUAUGAUAAAAAAGAAGACAAUUACUCGAACCCAGAAUCGUGCAAAGGAAAUUCAUCGUAGUUCGCUGAUCCCAAGUAAAACUCGGGAUUAAAUAAUUUUUCGUUUGAAUCGUGUCUCGAUACGACCUCGCAAUCCACCAACCGCUUUGCGCUCACGCAUCCAUGUGCUACAGGGGAGUGAAAGACAGUGGAGGAACCAAUUCGUAUACCAUUGGACAACUGCUAAUCGAGGUUAAAUCAGAAGGAAUUUUCAGUAUCAAAUCCCUUUCCAGUUGCUGAAAUAUUAAUUAAGAAUUGCGGGACACCCUGUAUACGUAAUAGGUUAUAAGAUUUAGUCCUUUUCAUGAUGAAAGCUAUACACCGUGAAUCUAGUGAAUCUUUGAAUCUCUUUGUCGAAGCGUCGUUAUUCCCGUGACAUCCACGUGAAAACGUCAGGAUAACACAAGCAAUGUGAAACACAAAUGACAUGUGAUUACUAGAGUGCCACGGACAGAAUGCUUACGUAAAAAGAAAAUGUAUGGAAACGGAUGAUAGUUAUAUAUAAAUAAUCUAGUAGCCAGCACCCUGCAAAUUGAACGCAAAUAAAAAAGAAAAACGCAGUAUUCUCAGUGUAACAGGUUUACAUUUAUUGUCUCGAUCUCCCCUGGCUUAGGCAUAUAUUAAUAAAUGUAAUAUUUAUCGCCGUAUUCACUUGAUGUGUGUAUCGUGUGUCUGUAUGUGUGUGUAUGUAUAUCCGUGUGUGCGUGUGGCUUACAACUUGGGCCUCUGUUAAAAAGUAAAUCGACGAGUAUACCCAUGGUGCGCUUUUACGCAUAAUUUGAUCGAAGCACGCUCUCUCGAAUUACUUCGAAAUUAACCUCUCUGAAUAUAGCUCACGACGAGUCGUGUUACAAAGCAACAAAAAAGGACUACUGCUUUUAUCAUCGUUAACAAUUUUCUCUUUCUUUCUCUCUCUCCCUCUCUCUCUCUCACUCUCACUCUUUCUCUGUCUGUCUGUCUGUCUCUCCUAUUUUGGCUUUCGUCGUUCGAACUUCGAACCCGUGAACGUGUCUUAUCUCGAACGUUUCAUUUCCUCGCGAUAAACGUAUUUCUCUGUACUCUGAGAGAAAUUAUUAUGUAUAUACAUGAUCCCAUUAAUAUAGUGCUUUUCUUUUUAACUUUAAAACGUAAUGGGACAUCUUACACCAAUUAAAUGUACUAAGUCGAUACAAACGAAUGUAAGUUAUCUCUUUCGUGUAUAUGUUUCCUAUUUAGUUUCUCCGAUUAAAAAUACGCAUUCAAUUGGCACGGUGAACACCCCGGAACAACGGCAAGCAUUCACAUUGUUUUUACGAUAAUAAUAAUAAUAGUAAUAAUAAUAAUAAUUAUAUUAAUAAUAAUAAAAAUAAUAAUAUUAAUAAUAUCAAUAAUUACAAAAUAUCGAAAGCUGAAAGUCUUCUUUUACUCGUUAAAUUUGGCAAAAGAAGCAGUAGAAUAUACAUACAUUGUCCGACUAGUUUACCGAUCAUUUCCUGUCGUUAACCUCAAAUAGUUUUCCCGUGACUAACUGUAUAUUAGUAAUACCGAAGAAUCGCGAAUAUCGUCUAAUUCUUAUAUGUUUCAGUACAGUGAUAUUUGUUUUUUUUACAAAAAAGUUCUUAUUCAAUUAUAUAGUAUCGUUAAAAAUGUAUAUUUCGAAAAUUUGUGUUACGCGUGUACGUGCGAAAGAGAGAAAUAUACGUAACUGAAGAUCCCAGCAUAAUAAACUGGGUUUACAUGUUUGUGCAAUUUGCAGAAAAUUACUUGUGCAAUCGAAACUGUCCAAGUAUUACGUCCGAAGAACUAUUGUGCCACAUAAUCAGAACGCGGUCAAAUAUUCAACACACGCUACACCUUCAACUUUUAUCUAUAUUUUAACCAAUAAAAAUAAAGUCAACGUUAGAUAGACGGUAUAAGGGUUUAUACUAAACAAACAAACGUUCGUCUUUCGCCGACCUCGGAAAAAUUCAAGUAUAGAUGGGAAACAAACACGUUGAAUUUAGACGAAAUGGGGGAAGAACGAACACGUGUUCGCCUAAUGUAAACGCGCCGUAAAUCGAACGAGCGACGUUGGAAAAAAUAAAAAGUAUUUUAGAAGUGAAACGAAUGGAAAAAUUAAUCCGGAUAAAUUGGUAUUAAAUUGUGGUCAGUGCAAAUUACAUGAGCGUGUACACCCAGCUUGAGAUGCGGCACCUUGGCGCCAAGAAAAUCGUUUUCGUGAAAGUCACAAUACACUAUCGAUUAAUCUUCGGAACCAUCAUCGAUCUUGCCGGUGCUCUCAGAGCAUGCACUCGCAAUGGGCGCUUUCUCUGCCUCCCUCUCUCGCUUUUUCUUUCUCUUUGUGUUUACAUAAUUCGAUCAAUACUUUUCUUUAAAUAUUUUAAGUUAAUUUUUAACGUAACUAACAGCAGCACAUCAUAGUCCGGUACUGACCUAUAACCAUUACGGACGGAUGGAUUCCGGGAGGUUCGCACGAUAUAUUAUCUAUUCUCUUCGAUUAUCGGCCCGUAUAUUUUUAUUCUUUCUUUUUUCACACUCAUUCAUUUAGGUUCAGUACUUAUACCGUCUACGACUCUUAUUCCAUACAAAAAUAGGUUACGUUAUAUAUAUAGUGUCUAUAUAUAUAUGCGUAUAUCAUGCGCACGUUAUAUAUAUAACAUUUUCUUUAUAAGUUUUUUCCAAGUACUUUUUUGUUAAGUUAAUCGCAUGACCAUUCGCUUCGCAAUACUCAACGAAAUUAGUAUUAUUAUUUAAAAGAAAAAAAAUUUAUAUUGCUGUUCUUUAUAAAAGAGAAGUCGAUUAAAAGAGGAACUUUUUACAAUGAAAAUUUUCUAGGAACUUGACAAAUUCGUUGCUUUUAAUUACUAAUAUAUGCUUUCGUUAUUCUAUUUACUAGAUUUUUAUUAUAUUCAUUGCUGAAACAAUGUGUCAAAAGCAAACGGUACAUACAAAUGCAUUUUGACUAUGUCAACCUCUUUUCAAUUCGAUUCAGCUCUAUCAAGAACCAUCGUUUUAUGGUUAGGUUCGAUAGUAAUCGAUCGUGUAAUCGUAUGACUAGAUUGGUAUGCGUUCGUUAACUUUAACAUUUUACAUCGAUGUGCGUACUUUACUAUUUUUUUUUUCUCAAUUGGAAAAAGUAAAGGAUGUUUAUACUUUUUCAACCAAGGCACUAGCGGAAAUGCGCCUGUUAAAUCUAACGUGUCGUUGAUCAUGUCCGCAAAGUAUUGCGAUGUUAAUGGCUGCGAAUCGAUAGUGCGCGAACUUGCUUCUAUCAGUAGUGAAUUUUCUGAGCAAACAGUGGAGGGACUCGGUAUGAGUUCGGCAAAUUUGAUCACCUCAUUACAGAGUUUUGCAAUUCGUUCAAAUUCUAUUCGAAUAAAUAAACAAUUUAAAAUCACCUUCAUAGGUAAACAUCUGUAUAUGCGUGAUUCGAAACCUUUUUACAACCUCUUACCUGUCAUGGAUUCGUAUUGUACCAUUUUCUGACCUAAUACUGACAGAAUUCUAACUCUAUAAUGGGAUGAAAAAUAAGCCGGUUGCUAGCCGGCAAGCUAGCGGUGCGAUUAAUAGAAAGACAGUAAACCAAAAGCAUAAAAAAAAGGAAGAAAAAAAAAAAGAAAAAA